rnacentral:piRNA from 2 species
UGACUAAGUGUGACGAAGGUGUUGAGC